AUCGCGUCGUCCCCCACCAUACUCUCCUGGCGGUUAGUUGUGGUGUUUGGGGGCGAAAAUUGGCCUCCCGUGCUUGUGGUGCGGUUGGCCUAAAUAGGAGGUCCCUUCGGUGGAUGCAUGGCUAGUGGUGGUUGUAUAGACCCUCUUCUUGUGUCGUGUGUUAUGAGCUGCUAGGGAAACACUCAUCAAAGACCCCAAUGUAUCGUUUUGUGACGAUGCUUCGAC
rnacentral:misc_RNA from 1 species